CCGGUAUGGGUGACUGCGGAGGAUCAUUAACGAAUUGCGUUCGAGGUUGUUGCUGGCUUCCCCCAAGAAGCAUGUGCACGCCUUGUAAUCCAUUUCAACCUCACUCGUGCACUUCAGAGGACCGUUAGGUUCUCUUUUAUUACACAAACCUUUAUUAUCGUCCAUGUAGAACGUGUUUAUUAUUAAACCUAAUACAACUUUCAACAACGGAUCUCUUGGCUCUCGCAUCGAUGAAGAACGCAGCGAAAUGCGAUAAGUAAUGUGAAUUGCAGAAUUCAGUGAAUCAUCGAAUCUUUGAACGCACCUUGCGCUCCUUGGUAUUCCGAGGAGCAUGCCUGUUUGAGUGUCGUGUAAUUCUCAAUCCCGUUCGGUUUUGAAUCGGACGUGGCUUGGAUUUGGGAGCUUGCUGGUGCCCCGCAUUGUGGGGCUCGGCUCUCCUUGAAUGCAUUAGCUCGGUCACGUUAGUUGCCCGACGGUUCACGGUGUGAUAGUCUAACUUCAUCGCCGUUAUGACCGCCUCGGUGCCUGUGCCUGCCGGCUUCUAAUCUGCUGUGUCUCUUAGACACGCAUACACUUUGACAAUUGACCUCAAAUCAGGUAGGACUACCCGCUGAACUUAAGCAUAUCAAAAACCGGGAGGAAAAU
rnacentral:rRNA from 1 species